CCUGAAAGGCCGCUCUGCAAGGAAGAAGCCACUGCUCCAAAACCGCCCCCCAAAAAGCCAGACUACGGUUUGCAACUGCACAUGGGGACAUAUUUUUUCUGUGAUUCGUUGUCAUUAAAGACUGUUGCUGAAAGGAUUCAUGCUGUUGCACAAAUGAUUGACCCAGCUGAGGGGACACUGGUUACCAUCAAGUACGCAGAUGGAGGAAGCAUGAGGAAGAGGUUCCUCCCCUCUCAACCUUUUCAGGACAUCGUAAUGUUCGUUGGGGCCCCUGAUAUGGCUUCCGAAACCUUCUGUCUUGAUUUACCCAUGUCAUCCGCCAGUUACACACGUGCCCAGGCAGGAACAGUGGUGGACAGCGGGAUUGUUGAAGAUGUGGUUUUAUACACUAUUUGGCUGGCUGAGGAUCAGGUGGAGGUGACUACUUUCACAUUUAGACAGAUUCAACAAUCUGACAUAAGUACUGGUUCUCCUUCAUGCUUAUAUCUGAAAAAAAUAACAUAGGGCAUUGGUUGUCAAACCUCAGGGACACCCUGCCGUUACAUGUGUUUUAUAUAUUACAGAGUUACUACAAUAGAUUCAACUUAUCAGCUACUAAUCAAGCCCUUUACUUGGUGAAUUUGUUUAGCUAUUUCUGGGCUACUACUACAUUGUGAAACAUAUGGGGGUUGCAGAGAAGUUUGAGAACCACUGAAAAGUAUUGUGGUUUUUCAGGAAAAUAAACCAACACAAAACCAACCUGCCUCCCAAGUGUCGACACCCACCAGGUCCCCACCUGCCUCCCAAGUGUCGACUGUGGGUUCAGUUGAGAUGUUUUGUAUGAAAUGUGCUUUUCUUUAAAACAGCAAGUUGUGGAUUAGAUGGGCACCCUCUCACGAUUGUCUUUCACAAUUCAGAGACUUAACAGUGCUCAAAGCAUUUUGCGAAACUGACUCUGCAGUCAAUUUGACUUUGUUCAGCACUUUCAUUUAUGUAAAAUGUUCUGUCUUGACUUUCAAUUUCAUAAUCUACAUCUACUAUUCUUUAAAGAAAAAUGUUGUGGAUUACUUUAAUUUGGGAACCCUCUGUCUCCUGUCUUUGACUUUAAUUGAUGUCAACUGUUCUUUCUGUGUUUUUAAUUUACAUUUGAAUCAAAUUGAAGCUGAAGUAAUAAUUUUAGAUUAUUUGACAAAGUCAACACAAAAUGUACAUAUAUGGUGGAUUCAAUGGUGUUAUGUUUGUAUACUUACUGUCUUUCACAAUUCAUCCACUGUGUUAACUAUACAGCAAAUUUGACAUGGUUCAUUACUUUGUUUUAUAACAAUGUUUAAAAGAGUUACUUGUACCGAAA